rnacentral:rRNA from 1 species
GACGAACGCUGGCGGCGUGCUUAACACAUGCAAGUCGAACGAAGUGGCGAACGGGUGAGUAACGCGUAAUCAACCUGCCCUUCAGAGGGGGAAAACAGGUGGAAACGACUGCUAAUACCGCAUACGGAAGGAGGGGAUUGCGGCUGAUUAGCUAGUUGGAGGGGUAACGGCCCACCAAGGCGAUGCGCAGUAGCCGGUCUGGGAGGGUGGACGGCAACAUUCGGACUUGGACCAUGCCCAGACUCCUACGGGAGGCAGCAGUGGUGAAUCUUCCGCAAUGGACGAAAGUCUGACGGAGCAACGCCGCGUGAGUGAUGACUGCCUUCGGGUUGUAAAGCUCUGUUAAUCGGGACGCGGUACCGGAAUAGAAAGCCACGGCUAACUACGUGCCAGCAGCCGCGGUAAUUC